AAGCAUAAUCCGAAUGGACUUGAGCAUUGCCACGGGAGAAAACGUCUCGUCAUAGUCAAUACCAUAACGUUGGUGUUGCCCAGAGAUGGUCACCCAAGAGGGGGGUAAAUUGGGUGUUUUAAAACUUUUUGACUAAUUAAAACAAACACACACAAGUGUAUGUGCUAAAGUAAAGUUAAAGCUAUACGCACAGUCAAUCGCAAACACAACGAUUUAUAGUGGUUCGGAGCUUCCACUGCUCCUACAUCCACUCCCCAAAUACCUUUGGGAAUUUCACUAUAAUCCGCGAUUACAGUCCGGUAGUUUUGCGAGUGCACUACCCAACUCAUUGUUUUACACCGGGCUAACAACGAACCCUACAACCCCCAAUUUAACCUAGGCUUGGGACGCCUAUCCCUUGUUCCAAGUCCCUUGACUGGAACAAGCACAAUAAUCAAUGUUUUACAAAAGAUUUGAAAGCUCUUAAGAAGCAAAUAUAACAAUGAGAAAUAAUAAAACCCGGAAGAACCCUUUUAGCCGUUGGAAGCGUGGAAAAUGGUGGUUCUUCCGAUGUGGAUCGCGUUGGCUUGAACAUAAGCUUUGAAUGCCGAGUGGGAGAGAGUAGUUGAGCACGAAAUCAGAUGGAAAAGCUUGGAUGCACUUGAUUUCUUCUCUUGAAAGCUCUAACUCCCUUGAAGCUCUUUUUCUUUCUUCUCUCUUGAAUGAUCUUGUGUUGGGUUGGUGAGAAGUUGUUGGAAGGCACUUAAGAGCUCCCUUUUAUAGCCCAAAAAGCAAAUAGAUUCGUUAGACACAAAGAUAUGGAAGUUUGAAAUUCAAACAAACCUGUAAAAGUGUGUCAGUCGCGUCCCAGGCGCUCCGGAGACGUCUCCGCUUCAAUGCGAGACGUCUCGGCUGUAUGAAAUUACUUUUGACGAUGUUGGGAGUCGACUCGGUGCUUUACGGGGACGACUCUGAGGAUGAACAGUUUGAAUCCUUGUUUUUCUGUUUUUCUGAGAGAGUCGCCUCGGCACUUUACGGGGACGUCUCGGGAUGUUUGUGCUUUUUGCAUGGGGACGACUCCGCUGAUUUAUCUCUGAAAAACAAGUCUUCUGGAAUU
rnacentral:lncRNA from 1 species